AGCGCUUAAAGAGGUUAUUCCUUACCAGAUCCUUUAGGACCUACCUGUACACCAGAUUCUUCAGACCGCAGCUGUAGUCAGGUCAUUAAUCUUCAUGGGACAAAUUACCACCGGCAGCUCAACAGAGUGGCACUGAUGGACUGGGGAGACAACAAAGCCACUCUGGCAUAACUGAGAGGAGCAUUUUCCUUGUAUCCUCUGCAACUUCUUCCUUGAAUUUCCCCAUAUUUCCUUUUUCUUUUUUUUUUCUUUUUUUUGUGCAAUUUAUUAGAAUUUAUUAUUUUUAAUUAAUGUAUAUUUAGCAUGAUUUAUUCAAACUCACAUUGAGCCAUCCACUGCUGAACAACAUGACCACUGUGACUGCAAAUUGACAAAGCAGUUUUGACAGGGUAUCUUUUCUGCACACAGUUCUGCAAGAAUAGCAGAACUAUUCUGAUAAAAGAGGAGCAGAAGAAGUCUUACAAUAUUUAAAAAUUACACAGGGUCCUGGUAUAGCAAUAGAGGCAAAAUAUUAAAAUAAAAAACUGUCAGCUGAAUUCAGGGGGGGAUUGUCAUGAUGAAAAUGUGAGCUCUCGAGGAAUGCAACAGCAAUGCAGGAAGAUGAGUUCCAACUUAAAAAAAAACCAGAUUUUAAAAGAUUUUAAAAUCAAAUUAUAAACAGAAUACUAAAACAUCUAUUUCAUUUUCCCAGACAGAAAUUAUGCUCUUUUCGGUAUGUUGUGAUAUAUGCACAAAUUAACUCCAGGUCACAUUUGCUUUUGUCUUUAAGCUUAAGGGGAUGAAAUACUCCAGCCUUUUCUUUAACCUAUAGCAUAACAGUAAAAGGCACUGAUGAGGUCACAAGAGUACAUAAUAAGUGAUCAGUAAAGAAAAUGGUGGCAUACAUUGCUUUUCCCUUGCUGUACUUAGUUCUCUGGAAAAUGAUCAACAGUAGCUUGCAGCUAAAUCAUACCCUAUUUUUCUGUUAUCAAAUGGGGUUAAAAAGUCAUGUAAAUAAAUAUACAUGAACUAAACAGAAACAGCUGGAAAGUUCCCAGAAGGGACCUCUAACAACCUCCAAGUUGGAUGGACCAUGGUAGAUCAAGGGAUCAUCAUUAAGAUUAAAGGCUUACACCAAACCUGCUGUGAAAUUCAAACUGCUGAAUUUAAACUUUGAUGGCACAAACUAGAAAGUACUAAAUGGUGGUAUUUAUUAAUUCUUAAAAAGCCAGAUGAUGAGAGGGCUGUUACAUUAUCUGCAUUCCAAAUGUGCAUGGUGCAAUUUGUUGAGAUUAAAAAAAUCUGUAGAUACCUCCUGUGAAAGUCAAACAUUUCAGGCAAACUCAUUCUUGUAUUGGUUUCCUGGAGAAAAAAAAAAAUAUCAGCAUCAUUAGUGCUUUUGGGGUUUCUUUUAAGGGCUUCAGACCAACUUCAUUAGAAAAACACACCAUAGAAGUGACUGGAGCUAAAUCUUAAGUCUUGGAGGAAGGAGCUUUUUUACCUUGGUUGACCUGUGCUAUUCCAAAUCUAUUUGAUGGCAUUAUGCUCCUGUGCCUAACAAAUAACUAAGAUGACAGCUGUCUGAGACUGAAAGCAUUACUCAGUGUCUCACCAUCCUUGUGGGAUACCUUCUCCCUGAAUUGUUUUUCUAAACUAAGUUAGAGAAAUGUUCUACAAGUCCCCUGCAAAGGAGAGGUUUGGCGUCUCUGCUGCAGGGAGAUGUUCACACUGUUUACACUGCACGCUGAGUCUCUGCACAGAUGCCACUCUCUAACUCACUCAGCACUUCUCAGCUAAGAUCUGUUACCAGCCACAAGGUCCAAAUGUUUGAAAUCUCAACAAUCUCUCUGGAGUGAAUGAACAAAAGAAAGCUCCCUUCUUUUUAGAGAGCUUGGAAGAAGCUUCCCUGCACAGAUCCCUCCAUUCUGCCUAUCUGGAAUAUGUUCUUGGAAGAUAAACUGAUACAAACAGACAGCAAAGCACCUUUGAAGAAGCCCACUCUUACUAACAGGAAAGAUAAAAACAACCACUUGACUUUAAGUGGAAAAGAGCCUUAGUUACACUAGGAGCCCACCCUGUCUUUCUGGAUUAUCUUGCUUAAAGAAGUAUUUUCAGAAAACAAGAAUAAAGUGUUUCAAGGAGUGUUUUUACAAGUGUUGACUUAUUUUAUAACCAUCAAAGUGUAGUGUGUGGAAAUAAAAAGUAAGAAACAAAAUGUGCAAAAAAUCUUCAUAACCAGGUAUUUGUACUGCUCUUUUCACUCUGACUCCUGCCUAUAAAACAUGUAUCUGCUAUUAUCCUCCUGCCAGAUGAAGAGGCAAGGUUGUUAAAAGUGGUCUGCCAAGAAACUUUUAACUUCUGAGCACAUCAUCACAGCAGACAUAAGAUUUUUCCCUGAUGAGUGCAAAUUACUGUAGGACUGGUGGAUCUCCGGCACACAAAGAGCAAUACACUCUACCCUGCAUAGAAGAGUGAUUUUCACUUUGCAUGAUAACAAGCCUUUUGUAUUUUUUAAGUCACUAACAAAGUACCUCUGCAGGAGGCCGCUGUGUUAGUCUUCAUUAAAGGAUCCAGAUCGAUAGAUUAAGCAAAAA